rnacentral:rRNA from 1 species
CAUGCAAGUCGAGCGGACCGACGGGAGCUUGCUCCCUUAGGUCAGCGGCGGACGGGUGAGUAACACGUGGGUAACCUGCCUGUAAGACUGGGAUAACUCCGGGAAACCGGGGCUAAUACCGGAUGCUUGAUUGAACCGCAUGGUUCAAUCAUAAAAGGUGGCUUUUAGCUACCACUUACAGAUGGACCCGCGGCGCAUUAGCUAGUUGGUGAGGUAACGGCUCACCAAGGCGACGAUGCGUAGCCGACCUGAGAGGGUGAUCGGCCACACUGGGACUGAGACACGGCCCAGACUCCUACGGGAGGCAGCAGUAGGGAAUCUUCCGCAAUGGACGAAAGUCUGACGGAGCAACGCCGCGUGAGUGAUGAAGGUUUUCGGAUCGUAAAACUCUGUUGUUAGGGAAGAACAAGUACCGUUCGAAUAGGGCGGCACCUUGACGGUACCUAACCAGAAAGCCACGGCUAACUACGUGCCAGCAGCCGCGGUAAUACGUAGGUGGCAAGCGUUGUCCGGAAUUAUUGGGCGUAAAGCGCGCGCAGGCGGUUUCUUAAGUCUGAUGUGAAAGCCCCCGGCUCAACCGGGGAGGGUCAUUGGAAACUGGGGAACUUGAGUGCAGAAGAGGAGAGUGGAAUUCCACGUGUAGCGGUGAAAUGCGUAGAGAUGUGGAGGAACACCAGUGGCGAAGGCGACUCUCUGGUCUGUAACU